UACGGGGGGGGCAAGCGUUGUUCGGAAUUACUGGGCGUAAAGCGCGCGUAGGCGGCCACUUAAGUCGGAUGUGAAAGCCCCUGGCUCAACUGGGGAAGUGCACCCGAAACUGAAUGGCUUGAAUGCAAAAGAGGGUCGCGGAAUUCCCGGUGUAGAGGUGAAAUUCGUAGAUAUCGGGAGGAACACCGGUGGCGAAGGCGGCGACCUGGGUUGACAUUGACGCUGAGGCGCGAAAGCGUGGGGAGCAAACAGG
rnacentral:rRNA from 1 species